rnacentral:rRNA from 1 species
AUGCGCCUUGGCUGCUCCUUCACGGGACAGAACGGCCACUGCGCCGCAGGGCGUGGCCACCGCGCUGCGUCCGCCCGCGCCGUUGGAUGCAGUCACUGCGUCGCGCUCGCCCGUGUGGAGCGCCCGCGCCGGUCCGCGUCGCGUCGCGCCCCGCGCCCGGCUGCCGCCCGCAUUGCGCCAUGCGCCGCGCUCCAGUCGCUCUGGCACAUGGAGCCCAGAGGCACUCGGGCUCUUGAAUGGCGCCUCCAACGGCGUCGCCCCUACUUCGAGGACGGGCGGGGCGGGAGAUCCUCUUGCCGCCGGUGGUGCGGCCGACCGGCCGUGGGCGUCUUCGCCUGUGCCCAAUCGGGCCGGCACGCCCUCCACGGAGUUCUCUGGCGCAGCCUUCUCCGGCCUCCAACGCGAGGCUCGGCGGCACUCCGCCCGGGUCGUGGUCUCUCCACGAGUUGCCGGAGAAACGGCCGACCGGCCAUGGCAGUCGCCGCCCGCGUCGGUAGUGGGGAUUGGGGAUGGAUGCUGGCUGGGGAUCGCUAUCCCUGGCCGCUUGCUGCUUAUCCAAUCGGCUGA